rnacentral:rRNA from 1 species
UACAGGGGGUGCAAACGUUGCUCGGAAUCAUUGGGCGUAAAGCGCGCGUAGGCGGCUUGUCAAGUCAGGGGUGAAAUCCCACAGCUCAACUGUGGAACUGCCUUUGAAACUGUCAGGCUAGAGUGUCGGAGGGGAUAGCGGAAUUGCUAAUGUAGAGGUGAAAUUCGUAGAUAUUAGCAGGAACACCGGUGGCGAAGGCGGCUAUCUGGACGACAACUGACGCUGAGGCGCGAAAGCGUGGGGAUCAAACAGG